rnacentral:lncRNA from 10 species
AGGCAUCCAACCAUGAUGAGGUACCUUGUUGAACAAACUAACUCUGCCACUGAGAACGAUGAAAGCUGUUUAAAAAAAUAAAUAAGUCUGUUUAAAACAAUUGGAGAGCAACCCUGUCAUCCAAGGCUUGAGAGUCCACGAGCCCCCCAGGAAGAAGAGAAAUACUCUGAAUGUCAGUACGGGGUCUAUCACAUAGUGGAAUUAAUGAGGAAACAGACUCAAAAAGGAUUUUGGCUUGCUCAAGGUCACACAGCUUGUAUGAGGCAGUGCUGCAAUUUAAAGCCAGCAAGAACCAUGAAACAGGUCUUAUAAAAAGAAAAAAAUUACAAUUCUGGAGGUGACCUAGUUGGAAGCCUGAAAUUCCAUGUUGUGAAACAACUAGAGGCCGGCCCUCUGAUCCUUUCUCUGGAUGUGCUGAAUUCAGCAGGGUGGAAGUGCUAAAACCAGGAGGAGCAAUGAAGUCAGUGUUGAGAAGAACAUGCAGCUGAGAAGCCAAGUGGGAGACCGGGACACUGCUCUGAUUGAGGAUAAUGUAUGUUACACUGUACCCACUCCGUUAAGCACAAUAAAUCUCCUUUUUCUUG